CCCUGGUAGUCCACGCCCUAAACGAUGUCAACUAACUGUUCGGAGUCACUAAGAUUCUGAGUAGUGAAGCUAACGCGAUAAGUUGACCGCCUGGGGAGUACGGCCGCAAGGUUGAAACUCAAAGAAAUUGACGGGGGCCCGCACAAGCGGUGGAGUAUGUGGUUUAAUUCGAUGCAACGCGAAGAACCUUACCCGGUCUUGACAUGGUAGGAAUCUUGUAGAGAUACGAGAGUGCCUUCGGGAACCUACACACAGGUGCUGCACGGCUGUCGUCAGCUCGUGUCGUGAGAUGUUGGGUUAAGUCCCGCAACGAGCGCAACCCUUGCCCUUAGUUACCAUCAUUUAGUUGGGGACUCUAAGGGGACUGCCGGUGAUAAACCGGAGGAAGGUGGGGACGACGUCAAGUCAUCAUGGCCCUUAUGACCGGGGCUACACACGUACUACAAUGGUCGGUACAGACGGUCGCAAGCUCGCGAGAGUAAGCUAAUCCGAGAAAACCGAUCGUAGUCCGGAUCGCAGUCUGCAACUCGACUGCGUGAAGUCGGAAUCGCUAGUAAUCGCAAAUCAGAAUGUUGCGGUGAAUACGUUCCCGGGCCUUGUACACACCGCCCGUCACACCAUGGGAGUUUGUUGCAAAAGAAGUAGGUAGCUUAACCGCAAGGAGGGCGCUUACCACUUUGUGGCCGAUGACUGGGGUGAAGUCGUAACAAGGUAGCCGUA
rnacentral:rRNA from 1 species